GCGAGCCGGCACGACGAGCCCGGCGGAGAGUGUCCCGAAACCACACGGCUGUCGGCCCUUCUUCCAUUACAACGGGGAAAGUGGCGGCAGGGGCAGCAGAGGACCAUUCACGCAGCCUUACCGAAUUCGCGGAUCCUGAGAGUGGGGCCCGCUUGGAACAGCCACAAUCUCGGGCCUUCCUUCUAGAGGCCACGAACGCCUUCGAAAGACAUACACUGCUUGGAGACAAAGACUUAGGGGCAGCCUCAUAACCAAGUCACCAGGGCACAAGACAGUGAAGGUGCCGCCUCGCUGGACUCACUUCUACGGGCCAGUUCAGACAUCCGCAACGCUGAAACAUGUUUUCUCUUUGUAUGAUUCUAAUACACCUUCUAAUAAACUACUCGAGGAAAGGACUGUUACAUAUUGAAAGGCGUAUAAACACGCACAAGUAAAGAAAGAAGAAUACACUUUAAAACGCACAUUUCAAGAAAUUCAAGCGCAUGCAGAAGAUACACACAAAGGAAUUUUUUAUGCUUCGA